rnacentral:tRNA from 1 species
CCGCCAUUAGCUCAUCAGGAUAGAGCAGAAGCUUUCUAAGCUCCUGGUGCGGGGUUCAAGUCCUCGAUGGCGGACCA